ACAGUAACGUAAAAAUGAAUCCAGAUUUCCAGCUUACCGUAGUAGCUAUGGUCGUUGAGGAGCCUCUGGGCAUAAUAGAUAUGG